CAGAUCUCUGUACUUGCUGCAUAGAUUUUAUUUUAUUUUAUUUUUAUGAAUCCUAGGCAUAAGACAGUUUUGACCACCAAGCCAGGCAUCAAGUUAGGAUGAACAAAGGACCGCCAUCUGUCUGUAACUGAUAUAAGAACACCACCAUCAAAAAGGACUUCUAGGUACUGUCUGAAUUCUCUGUGAAGUGGAUAUUAUGGAUACACAUACAUAACUUUAAUCUGAACAUUUGAAAGAGAGAGGCAGGCGAGUCUCUAUGAGUUCAAGGCUUCUCUAAAUUGCAUGUUCUAGGCUAGCCAAGUCAUCAUAAUGAGAUUCUAAAACACAAAACCAAACUAAACCAACAAAAGUGAUUAACAGAAAGAUUUUGUUAAGGGCUCGGCCUAUAAGAGAAUAUAGGGAGGAAUCAAGAAAGCCCAAGGGACAAGGUUGACAGCUUGGCAUCCUUUGUGAAGGAGAGAAGGAAGAAAAGUUGAAGAGGAUACCACCUAUAGUCUGCCCUUGCUUGAGCCUCAAGCCUUCUAAAAGCUUGUCUAUCUCAAUGUCCUUGCUUCAGAGAAUGGCCGAGAACAGCCCAUGGGACCAUAGUCUUGGAGCAGAAGCUAUGAUGGGAUUUAUCGUGUGUAUCUGCAGGUGGCCAUAUACAGUACCACAUUUUGUCACCAUUCAGAUGCUAAAUAAAUCUCCUGCAUCAAACCC
rnacentral:lncRNA from 1 species